rnacentral:sRNA from 1 species
GGGGUAUGUCUCUCUCAAAAUCAU